rnacentral:rRNA from 1 species
UACGUAGGGUGCGAGCGUUGUCCGGAAUUAUUGGGCGUAAAGAGCUCGUAGGCGGUUUGUCGCGUCUGCCGUGAAAGUCCGGGGCUCAACUCCGGAUCUGCGGUGGGUACGGGCAGACUAGAGUGAUGUAGGGGAGACUGGAAUUCCUGGUGUAGCGGUGAAAUGCGCAGAUAUCAGGAGGAACACCGGUGGCGAAGGCGGGUCUCUGGGCCGUAACUGACGCUGAGGAGCGAAAGCGUGGGGGAGCGAACAGG